rnacentral:rRNA from 1 species
UAAGCCAUCCAUGUNUAAGUAUAAAUAUUAUNCAGCGAAAAUGCGAAUANAUCAUUAAAACAGUUAUAGUAUAUUUGAUAAGUANACNNACANGGAUAACGGUAGUAAUUAUAGAGGUAAUACAUGCCAAGAAGCCGGACUUUUUGGAAGGGCGGUAUUUAUUAGAUAUCAAACCUACAUGGAUAACCGUAGUAAUUCUAGAGCUAAUACAUGCCAAGAAGCCCGACUUUUUGGAAGGGCGGUAUUUAUUAUAUAUCAAACCAUUACCCGCAAGGGUUCUGUGAUGAUUCAUAAUAACUGAACGAAUCGCAGGUUUCUGCGAUGAAUCAUUCAAGUUUCUGCCCUAUCAUCUUUCUAUGGUAGUGUAUUGGACUACCAUGGCAGUCACGGGUAACGGAAAAUUAGGGUUCGAUUCCGGAGAGGGAGCCUGAGAAAUGGCUACCACAUCUAANGAAGGCAGCAGGCGCGUAAAUUACCCAAUCCUGAUUCAGGGAGGUAGUGACAAGAAAUAACAACUCGGGUCCCUUCAUGGGAUUGCAAGAUUGCGAUGANAACAAUUUAAACCACUUAUCGAGGAACAAUUG